UACGUAGGGUCCGAGCGUUGUCCGGAAUUAUUGGGCGUAAAGGGCUCGUAGGCGGUUUUGUCGCGUCGGGGAGUGAAAAACCUACAGCUUAACUGUGGGCUUGCUUUCGAUACGGGCAGACUUGAGGCAUGCAGGGGGAGAACGGAAUUCCUGGUGUAGCGGUGAAAUGCGCAGAUAUCAGGAGGAACACCCGUGGCGAAAGCGGCUCUCUGGAACGGUACUGACGCUGAGACGCGAAAGCGUGGGGAGCGAACAGG
rnacentral:rRNA from 1 species